UACGUAGGGUGCGAGCGUUGUCCGGAAUUACUGGGCGUAAAGAGCUUGUAGGCGGUUCGAUAAGUCGGGUGUGAAACCUCCAGCUCAACCUGGAGACGCCACCCGAUACUGUCGUGACUAGAGUCCAGUAGGGGAGCGUGGAAUUCCUGGUGUAGCGGUGAAAUGCGCAGAUAUCAGGAGGAACACCGGUGGCGAAAGCGGCCUACUGGACCAUCACUGACGCUGAGGUGCGAAAGCUAGGGUAGCAAACGGG
rnacentral:rRNA from 1 species